UACAACUUUGAGCGGUGGAUCACUCGGCUCGUGUGUCGAUGAAGAGCGCAGCCAACUGUGUGAAUUAAUGUGAACUGCAUACUGCUUUGAACAUCGACAUCUUGAACGCACAUUGCGGCCACGGGUUUUCCUGUGGCCACGCCUGUCCGAGGGUCGGCU
rnacentral:rRNA from 2 species